rnacentral:lncRNA from 1 species
AGGUGGAACAGAUGUGCCUGAAAUUUACUCUGUUGUCUGUUUUCUGCUGCUCAAGAGCUGUACAUAACAAACAUAAUAACCAUGCAGUUAAGCUGUGUUCCUCAUGAGAGACAGGUUGUUAGAAACCUGCCUGUUUAAAUGCCAGUCUAAUCCACCAGGGCUGGUUUUCAUACGUGCCAGGGAGGUGAAAUCCUUGGAACAUUUGAGGCAUACUGGAAAUGCAAACAGCUGCCACAAUACAAGAAGAAGUAAAAUUGUACCUUCUAGCAUUAACUGA